rnacentral:rRNA from 1 species
UGCGUAGGUGGUGAUGCAAGUCUGGUGUGAAAUCUCGGAGCUCAACUCCGAAAUUGCACCGGAUACUGCGUGACUCGAGGACUGUAGAGGAGAUCGGAAUUCACGGUGUAGCAGUGAAAUGCGUAGAUAUCGUGAGGAAGACCAGUUGCGAAGGCGGAUCUCUGGGCAGUUCUGACACUGAGCACGAGCCAGGGGAGCAAACG